rnacentral:rRNA from 1 species
UACAGAGGUGGCAAGCGUUGUUCGGAAUUACUGGGCGUAAAGGGCUCGUAGGCGGCCAACUAAGUCAGACGUGAAAUCCCUCGGCUUAACCGGGGAACUGCCUCUGAUACUGGAUGGCUUGAGAUUGGGAGAGGGAUGCAGAAUUCCAGGUGUAGCGGUGAAAUGCGUAGAUAUCUGGAGGAAUACCGGUGGCGAAGGCGGCAUCCUGGACCGACAUUGACGCUGAACGGCGAAAGCUAGGGGAGCAAACGGG